GGGGACGCGUGGUUCGACAGGGGAGGUUGGCUACAGAGUUGCAGGCUGAGGUGCCAUCAACCUCGUAAAUCAGGUGGCAAAACACAAAUGCUGAAGAACCAGUAUUAGUUGCCGCUUAAUUAACUAAGCGACACGUCCACCCCGGCCCCACCCCGGCGGGCCAGGAAUGGGCGAAGAAAAGUCGGGGUGCCGCUAUCCUGACGCCGGUAUGGGUAGCGAAAGCAAAAUCCGGCUGACCUGCCGGAACUCGGUCAGCAGAGGUCUGUCGGGCGAGAUAAAGAGCUGACUAAGCUUGUAGGAUACUCUGGGCGGUCUCUUCUGGACGGGGAGUUCAACUCUCCCCCGUCUCCACCA
rnacentral:tmRNA from 1 species